UACAUGUGGGGCAAGCGUUGUUCGGAAUUACUGGGCAUAAAGGGUGCGUAGGCGGUUUGUUAAGUCUGUGGUGAAAGUUUUCGGCCCAACCGGAAAAUUGCCGCGGAUACUGGCGAACUUGAGUGCGUGAGGGAUGGGGGGAACGAGCAGUGUAGCGGUGAAAUGCGUAGAUAUUGCUCGGAAGGCCAGAGCCGAAGGGCCCCAUUGGUACGCAACUGACGCUGAGGCACGAAAGCGUGGGGAGCAAACAGGAUAGAUACCCA
rnacentral:rRNA from 1 species